ensembl:lncRNA
UGGAGUGCGUUGCCAUUUCCUCUUCCAAGGAAUCUUCCUGACCCAGGGAUCGAACCUGCAUCUCUUAUGUCUCCUGCAUGGGCAGGAUUUGUGUGACUUCUCUCAUCUCGUCCUUGCCUGAACACCGGUGGAUUUUUUUCUCUGACCAGCCAAGCUUCAAGCUGUUUCAGCCUUAGAUAAGCUUCCUCCUGAACUCUGCAUAGCUUGCUUGCUACUCUAUAUUACUCAGACCUCUGCUCAAAAGCCAACCCCUCCGAGGACCUUCUGAUUGCCUGAUCUGAAAUCGCCUCCUUGCUCAGUUUCUGUAAUUCUCCACCUGCCACUUUUAUUUUCAUGGUAAACAUCAUCACCCUGUAAAAUUAUAUUAUUGACUUACUUAUAGGGGAAGGAACAUCGUCAACCAGUUCCAGGAAAAUGUACAAUCUUGGAUCACCAGGUACCAGAUGCAAAGGCACGGACUAAGUCAGUGGGUGAGGGCUAACAGAAAGACUAAGGGGAAAAUGACAGUGCUCCCAACACCAGCUCCUUUCAGUCUUCCAAAGUAAAAAACAACAAACAAAUAAAGGAAGAAACGUGGCUCAGCCUAGGAGUAAGAGCUCAGUGCACGCUCUCUCUCUCUGGAAAUGUCCUUUCUACCUCCCACUGAUAACUGUUGCUGGAAGGAAAUAUACACUCUCUGGAGACAUUGCGAGAAGGCACUAAAUCAAAGAAAAGGAUCCUGUGAACUCUGCUAGGGCCAAGCUUUAUCACACCUUUAACAACGAGGAUUCCUGCCUUGUUCUUGUGGUUGGCCAGCCAACAGAAAUGGAGGCUUUGCUGUUUAGAGAAUCCCACAGUCAAGCACCUUAUUAGUGGAAGGGAAAGGGGCCAGGACACCCAACAGUUGCUUGCUCUUGAUGGACACAUGUUCUGAAGGAAAAUCCAUCAGCAGUUCCAUCUCCAUCUACUCACAGGUCCUAAAUCUGGGCUCACUCCCAGGUUUCUGUAGCCCCCCUCCACACUAAAAAACAUAGGAGGGACAGUUUCCAUAGGAGAUAGCACAGGGCGCUCAGCACAAAUGCUCGCUAAGCACAAAUCUUCUGCAGAUCUAGAUCAGAGGUCCCAAACCCUAAGGCAGUGGUCCUCACAGGGGGACUGUUUUUGACCCCCUCCCCUCUCCUCUCCAGGGGAGGUUAGCCACAGCUAGAGGCUUCCUGAUUAUCACGGCUGGGUGGUAGAGGGUAGACCACUGGCGUCCAGUAUGUGAAAGUCAGAGCGGCAUCUAAC